rfam:Selenihalanaerobacter shriftii strain ATCC BAA-73 genome assembly, contig: EI55DRAFT_scaffold00009.9
AUGAGUGAUGCUAAGCUUCCAGAUGUGCAAGCAGGUUAUGAAAAAGCGAUGACUACUCUAUUAGCAGGUAUGUCAGGUGCUAACUUUAUUCAUGAUUCAG